rnacentral:rRNA from 1 species
CACGUAGGGCGCAAGCGUUGUCCGGAAUUAUUGGGCGUAAAGAGCUCGUAGGCGGUCUGUUACGUCUGCUGUGAAAACCCAGGGCUUAACCCUGGGCUUGCAGUGGAUACGGGCAGACUAGAGGCAGGUAGGGGAGAAUGGAAUUCCCGGUGUAGCGGUGAAAUGCGUAGAGAUCGGGAGGAACACCGGCGGCGAAGGCGGCUGCCUGGACCAGUCCUGACGCUGAGGCGCGAAAGCUAGGGGAGCAAACAGG